GAUGAACGCUGGCGGCGUGCCUAAUACAUGCAAGUCGAGCGAACAGACGAGGAGCUUGCUCCUCUGACGUUAGCGGCGGACGGGUGAGUAACACGUGGAUAACCUACCUAUAAGACUGGGAUAACUUCGGGAAACCGGAGCUAAUACCGGAUAAUCUAUUGAACCGCAUGGUUCAAUAGUGAAAUACGGUUUUUCUGUCACUUAUAGAUGGAUCCGCGCCGCAUUAGCUAGUUGGUAAGGUAACGGCUUACCAAGGCAACGAUGCGUAGCCGACCUGAGAGGGUGAGCGGCAACACUGGAACUGAGACACGGUCCAGACUCCUACGGGAGGCAGCAGUAGGGAAUCUUCCGCAAUGGGCGAAAGCCUGACGGAGCAACGCCGCGUGAGUGAUGAAGGUCUUCGGAUCGUAAAACUCUGUUAUUAGGGAAGAACAAAUGUGUAAGUAACUAUGCACGUCUUGACGGUACCUAAUCAGAAAGCCACGGCUAACUACGUG
rnacentral:rRNA from 1 species